UUGAUGGGCGACCGGCGCACGGGUGCGUAACGCGUAUGGCAACCUACCUUUUUACAGGGGCAUAACACUGAGAAAUUGGUACUAAUUCCCCAUAAUAUCUGAGACGGCAUCGUUUUAGGGUUGAAAACUCCGGUGGUAAAAGAUGGGCAUGCGUUGUAUUAGCUAGUUGGUGAGGUAACGGCUCACCAAGGCGACGAUACAUAGGGGGACUGAGAGGUUAACCCCCCACAUUGGUACUGAGACACGGACCAAACUCCUACGGAAGGCAGCAG
rnacentral:rRNA from 1 species